UGCAGUCGAGCGGUAGAGAGAAGCUUGCUUCUCUUGAGAGCGGCGGACGGGUGAGUAAUGCCUAGGAAUCUGCCUGGUAGUGGGGGAUAACGUUCGGAAACGGACGCUAAUACCGCAUACGUCCUACGGGAGAAAGCAGGGGACCUUCGGGCCUUGCGCUAUCAGAUGAGCCUAGGUCGGAUUAGCUAGUUGGUGAGGUAAUGGCUCACCAAGGCGACGAUCCGUAACUGGUCUGAGAGGAUGAUCAGUCACACUGGAACUGAGACACGGUCCAGACUCCUACGGGAGGCAGCAGUGGGGAAUAUUGGACAAUGGGCGAAAGCCUGAUCCAGCCAUGCCGCGUGUGUGAAGAAGGUCUUCGGAUUGUAAAGCACUUUAAGUUGGGAGGAAGGGCAGUUACCUAAUACGUGAUUGUUUUGACGUUACCGACAGAAUAAGCACCGGCUAACUCUGUGCCAGCAGCCGCGGUAAUACAGAGGGUGCAAGCGUUAAUCGGAAUUACUGGGCGUAAAGCGCGCGUAGGUGGUUUGUUAAGUUGGAUGUGAAAUCCCCGGGCUCAACCUGGGAACUGCAUUCAAAACUGACUGACUAGAGUAUGGUAGAGGGUGGUGGAAUUUCCUGUGUAGCGGUGAAAUGCGUAGAUAUAGGAAGGAACACCAGUGGCGAAGGCGACCACCUGGACUAAUACUGACACUGAGGUGCGAAAGCGUGGGGAGCAAACAGGAUUAGAUACCCUGGUAGUCCACGCCGUAAACGAUGUCAACUAGCCGUUGGAAGCCUUGAGCUUUUAGUGGCGCAGCUAACGCAUUAAGUUGACCGCCUGGGGAGUACGGCCGCAAGGUUAAAACUCAAAUGAAUUGACGGGGGCCCGCACAAGCGGUGGAGCAUGUGGUUUAAUUYGAAGCAACGCGAAGAACCUUACCAGGCCUUGACAUCCAA
rnacentral:rRNA from 2 species